GCGAGCAAAAAAAAGGCUUUUCACCGCGAGAACUUCCGAGCAAAAUGCCAAUCUACGGAAAUGACAUUACUACUAUCUGGCAUCGCUGGCAAUAUGAGCUGUCAAAAUGUUACGUGAUUGUGUCGAAGCGAAGCAUAUCGGAGCGUUUCGUUUUUGUAUCGAAUAUUAAUUCUGCUAGUGACUUGCUUCUAAUCUACUGCGUAGAAAUGGCCUAUUGAUAAGCUGCACAAGUAAUCGUUUCGGAGCUGUUUAUGUCUAUCGACCUAUUGAAGAUCUUGGCAUUGAACAUGUUAGGAUUUUUUUUGGAUUAGAAAUUAAUGUCGAAAAUGUAGUCUAAGCACUCUACACUGGACUUGACACAGUUAUUGACCUAGAUUGUGUUGGAAAGGAAGUGAUUCAUUGUAUUUGUAAAAUAUGACAUUUGUUGAAUAAAAAAAUGUUGAUUGUUUUUGUGAAUCAGUUAAGAAGCAUUAUCGCUUACCUCAACUUCUAGUAUGAAA